GGCAACUUGGCCGAGCGGUCUAAGGCGCUAGACUCAAGAAUUAAGUUCUCUUGCCCGCUUCUGCGGGUUGCAUUCUAGUCUCGAAAGAGGCGCGCGUUCGAAUCGCGCAGUUGUCA